rnacentral:tRNA from 1 species
UGGCUCAGACAGUAAAGCGUCUGUCUACAAUGCAGGAGACCCAGGUUCAAUCCCUGG